UACGAAGGGGGGCUAGCGUUGCUCGGAAUCACUGGGCGUAAAGCGCACGUAGGCGGCUUACUAAGUCAGGGGUGAAAUCCUGGAGCUCAACUCCAGAACUGCCUUUGAUACUGGUGAGCUUGAGUCCGGAAGAGGUGAGUGGAACUGCGAGUGUAGAGGUGAAAUUCGUAGAUAUUCGCAAGAACACCAGUGGCGAAGGCGGACUCACUGGUCCGGUACUGACGCUGAGGUGCGAAAGCGUGGGGAGCAAACAGGG
rnacentral:rRNA from 1 species